UACGAAGGGGGCUAGCGUUGCUCGGAUUGACUGGGCGUAAAGGGCGCGUAGGCGGUUUGUACAGUCAGACGUGAAAUUCCUGGGCUCAACCUGGGGGCUGCGUUUGAUACGUGCGAGCUUGAGUUCGGAAGAGGGUCGUGGAAUUCCCAGUGUAGAGGUGAAAUUCGUAGAUAUUGCUUGGAAGGCCAGAGCCGAAGGGGCCCUACUGGUACGUAACUGACACUGAGGCACGAAAGCGUGGGGAGCAAACAGG
rnacentral:rRNA from 1 species